rnacentral:rRNA from 1 species
CGACGACGGGUAGCCGGCCUGAGAGGGCGACCGGCCACACUGGGACUGAGACACGGCCCAGACUCCUACGGGAGGCAGCAGUGGGGAAUAUUGCACAAUGGGCGGAAGCCUGAUGCAGCGACGCCGCGUGAGGGAUGACGGCCUUCGGGUUGUAAACCUCUUUCAGCAGGGACGAAGCGUAAGUGACGGUACCUGCAGAAGAAGCGCCGGCCAACUACGUGCCAGCAGCCGCGGUAAGACGUAGGGCGCGAGCGUUGUCCGGAUUUAUUGGGCGUAAAGAGCUCGUAGGCGGCUUGUCGCGUCGACCGUGAAAACCUGGGGCUCAACCCCAGGCCUGCGGUCGAUACGGGCAGGCUAGAGUUCGGUAGGGGAGACUGGAAUUCCUGGUGUAGCGGUGAAAUGCGCAGAUAUCAGGAGGAACACCGGUGGCGAAGGCGGGUCUCUGGGCCGAUACUGACGCUGAGGAGCGAAAGCGUGGGGAGCGAACAGGAUUAGAUACCCUGGUAGUCCACGCUGUAAACGUUGGGCGCUAGGUGUGGGGGGCCUCUCCGGUUCCCUGUGCCGCAGCUAACGCAUUAAGCGCCCCGCCUGGGGGGAGUACGGC